rnacentral:rRNA from 1 species
CCUACGUGCGGCAUCAGUCGAGAAUCAUUCACAAUGGGGGAAACCCUGAUGGUGCGACGCCGCGUGGGGGAAUGAAGGUCUUCGGAUUAUAAACCCCUGUCAUGUGGGAGCAAAUUAAAAAGAUAGUACCACAAGAGGAAGAGACGGCUAACUCUGUGCCAGCAGCCGCGGUAAUACAGAGGUCUCAAGCGUUGUUCGGAAUCACUGGGCGUAAAGCGUGCGUAGGCUGUUUCGUAAGUCGUGUGUGAAAGGCGCGGGCUCAACCCGCGGACGGCACAUGAUACUGCGAGACUAGAGUAAUGGAGGGGGAACCGGAAUUCUCGGUGUAGCAAUGAAAUGCGUAGAUAUCGAGAGGAACACUCGUGGCGAAGGCGGGUUCCUGGACAUUAACUGACGCUGAGGCACGAAGGCCAGGGGAGCGAAAGGGAUUAGAUACCCCUGUAGUC